rnacentral:rRNA from 1 species
UGAACCAGUACCGUGAGGGAAAGGUGAAAAGAACCCCGGGAGGGGAGUGAAAGAGAACCUGAAACCCUGUGUCUACAAGCUGCGGAAGAGCGACUAACGCUCGACCGUGUACUUUUUGUAGAACGGUCCGGCGAGUUGCCGUUGCUGGCAGGUUAAGUACUUAAGGUACGGAGCCGAAGGGAAACCAAGUCUUAAUAGGGCGGUAAGUCAGUAACGGCAGACCCGAAACCGGGUGACCUACCCAUGGCCAGGAUGAAGUCUGCGUAAAAGUGGAUGGAGGUCCGAACACACGUCUGUUGAAAAAGGCGGUGAUGAGCUGUGGGUAGCGGAGAAAUUCCAAUCGAACUCGGAGAUAGCUGGUUCUCCCCGAAAUAGCUUUAGGGCUAGCCUCGGUAUAGUCUAAUGGAGGUAGAGCACUGAAUCGCUGCGGGGGCGUCAAAGUCUACCAAUGCGUAUCAAACUCCGAAUGCCAUAUAGAUGUUUACCGGGAGUCAGACUGUAUGAGAUAAGUCGGACAGUCAAAAGGGAAACAGCCCAGACCAUCUGCUAAGGUCCCAAAGUGUAUGUUAAGUGGUAAAGGAUGUGGGGUUUCGAAGACAACUAGGAUGUUGGCUCAGAAGCAGCCAUUCAUUCAAAGAGUGCGUAAUAGCUCACUAGUCGAGAGGUCCUGCGCCGAAAAUGUCCGGGGCUGAAACAUAACACCGAAGCAAUGGAAUAUACCGUAAGGUAUGUUGGUAGGGGAGCAUUGAUAACACGAAGAAGCGGUACCGUAAGGAGCCGUGGAGGGUUAUCAAGAGAGAAUGCCGGAAUGAGUAGCGAGAUGAAGGUGAGAAUCCUUCAGGCCGUAUAUCCAAGGUUUCCAGGGUAAAGCUGAUCUUCCCUGGGGAAGUCGGGACCUAAGCUCAGGCUGAGAAGCGUAGGCGAUGGACAACUGGUUGAUAUUCCAGUACCUCUGGCUAUCAGAAAUGUGGGGACACGGAGAUUCAGGGAGUGCCUGUAAAGGAUUCAGGUGCAAGCAUGGUUUAUGCCGGGCAGGCAAAUCCGCCCGGGUAAGUGGACUGUGUGACGCGGACCGAAAUAUAAGUAGGGAAGCUUCUGGGAGAGCCGUCGAGAAAAGCCGCUAUUGUGCAGCCAGAGCCCGUACCGUAAACCGACACAGGUGGAUGGGGAGAGUAUCCCAAGGCCGGCGGGAGAAGCAUUGUUAAGGAACUCGGCAAAAUGGCCCCGUAAGUUCGCGAUAAGGGGUGCCUGUAGAGAUACAGGCCGCAGAGAAUAGGCUCAAGCAACUGUUUAGCAAAAACACAGGUCUAUGCGAAACCGUAAGGUGAUGUAUAUGGGCUGACGCCUGCCCGGUGCUGGAAGGUUACGGGGAGUGCUUAGGAGCAAUCCGAAGGUACGAACUUAAGCCCCAGUAAACGGCGGCCGUAACUAUAACGGUCCUAAGGUAGCGAAAUUCCUUGUCGGGUAAGUUCCGACCCGCACGAAAGGCGUAAUGAUUUGAGCGCUGUCUCAACAAUGCACCCGGUGAAAUUGAAGUACCAGUGAAGAUGCUGGUUACCUGCGCCAAGACGGAAAGACCCCAUGGAGCUUUACUCCAUCUUGGUACUGGGAUUAGAUAUAUGAUGUACAGGAUAGGUGGGAGACUAAGAAGCAGGGACGCCAGUUUCUGCGGAGUCAAUGUUGGGAUACCACCCUUCGUGUAUCUGGUUUCUAACCUUUGCCCGUUAUCCGGGCAGGGGACAAUGCCAGGAGGGGAGUUUGACUGGGGCGGUCGCCUCCGAAAGUGUAUCGGAGGCGCUCAAAGGUUCCCUCAGAAUGGUCGGAAACCAUUCAAAGAGUGCAAAGGCAGAAGGGAGCUUGACUGCGACACCGACGGGUGGAGCAGGUACGAAAG